GUUUGCUUUUACUGCAAUAAAAUACACAUUUGUAUUCAGCAAAGUCUCACGUGUAAGACAGUACCCCCUAUGUACAGAUUUUACGGCGUUUUGGGAAGUUACAGGGUCAAAUAUAACACGUUACAUUUGAAAUUGAAAUUUGCCAGAUUGGUUAUGUUGCCUUUGAGACUGUAUAGUAGCCCGGGAAUGAAAUUUACACCCAUAAUGGCAUACCAUUUGCAAUAGUAGACAACC